rnacentral:rRNA from 1 species
UUAAAUUGAAGAGUUUGAUCAUGGCUCAGAUUGAACGCUGGCGGCAGGCCUAACACAUGCAAGUCGAACGGUAACAGGAAUCAGCUUGCUGAUUUGCUGACGAGUGGCGGACGGGUGAGUAAUGUCUGGGAAACUGCCUGAUGGAGGGGGAUAACUACUGGAAACGGUAGCUAAUAC